UGUAACGCGGAAGUCAGUGAAGCAUACUUAUGCGGAUGGGCGCUAUGAAAUAUACUAAACAUCAUCACCAUUGAGCCUGGGAGAAAGCGCCGGUGGGUGAUCUUUUUUUGCUCUGCACCGUGUGUGCAUUUUGAACGAGGGAAGUGAGCGUUUCAUCGCCGCGGAGAACUUCGGAAAAUGUAAAUGUCUGGCUACAUUGUAACUGCUGCGCCAUAUAUAAAAAAUAUCACAGAGACGACGCAUGUCUUGAUGGAAUAGCUGAGACUAUACGGAUUGUGUGAAUAUCUGCACUCCACGAUCACUGUAGCCUACAUAAAUACAUAACUGACAGUAUUUCUACAGCAUAAAAAUAAGAGCAGUGUAGCCUGGGAGUAGCGAUUCAGCCCGUCAUGCCAGCGAGACAGGAAGUGUGUGUGUGAGCCCGACCAGUCCGGUGGGCUGCGCGGGGAUGAACAUGCCACUGCACCAGAUCUCUGUCAUCCCCCGUGAUGUCACUUCCUCCCGGGUCAGCGGCAGUGGAAAGUCCAAGGACAAGGAAAAACAGAUCUGUUUAUUCCUCUCAGGGAUGGAGGGAUAAAUGGAGGUGAUUCCUCUCCUCCCUCUGGAUCCAUCGGAGGAGUGGAGGAGAGGGGGAUGGAGCGGAGGAGAGAAAUAGCUAUUGCUUACCCUGCAUUCUGAUUAGUGGAAUUGUGUGUGUUUGAGUGUGGUUGCGCCUGCCUUUAGUCAGAGUGCAGCCCAUCUGUCCGAAACAGACACACCUUGUCUUUUAGUGCCUCUAAAAAAGAGAAGGGGGGAGAGAGGGAGCAUUUUCCUCUAUUUAGAACUCUGUGUUAGUCGGCUGCUUCCUCUCAACGCUCUUCAAAUACUCAAUAAAUAAUUGAUUCUCUGUC